rnacentral:lncRNA from 1 species
GGUCUGUUGGCUUGAGAGUGACUCAGUAAUCAAUUAAGGGGAGUCAAUACAUGAGCUAGGAAGAGGGACUUCUCUGAUGUAGGUGGAAUCAUUUCAUGUGAGUGGCUGUCUUUUAGACCUUUGCCUCACAGAGGACUCUAUUGGAUUUCUAGGAGAGAAGGCAAAACCAAAAUAGUUGUGAAAAAUAAUAGCACUUGGUGCAACUGUGUGAGUGAGUCUAACCAACCAGAUAGCCAGAUCUGAGCACUGGCUGGUAGAGAAGUGUCCUGAUUUUACAAGAGGCGAGCAGCCUUUGCAGACGAUAGCUAAGAAUGCUGCCGAGCUGCUCAAGGAGGAUGAGGAGGAGCUAGGGAGCUGUCGUCUUUCAAAUGAGGAAGCACCAAGAAGAAGCUCUCACCACUCCCGUCAACCAGCCAGCUUCUAUUCCCAGGGCUUCCCAGGUGGCUCGGUGGUAAAGAAUCCACCUGCUGGUGCAGGAGAUGCAAGAGAUGUGGGUUUGAUCCCUGGGUUAAGAAGAUACCCUGGAGGAGGAAAUGAAAACCCACUCCAGUGUUCUUGCCAGGGAAAUCCCGUGGACAGAGGAGCCUGGUUGGCUGCAAUCCAUGGAGCUGCAAAGACUUGGACACAACUGAGCACAGCACAGAGCUCAGGUACACACUCAGUGGUCUGUUCCCACCAUCGGAUUGCACUUCACUGCUGUCCAAGGCCAAGGCCACCACAGACUCUUCAGUAUGCUAGAUGCUGUGAAUCAUCAUGCCUGAAUGACUGGGAUCCCUCAAGAGUUGGAACCACGUUAUUAAUGAGUGUGCUGUGGAGAGGACCAGAGAAGUGGAAGUUGCUCACUUCCGUAAGAUGGCAAGGUGCUCUCUGUCCCAGCGGAAAUACACGUGGCAGAAUCCCAGAGUUGCAGCCAAGACAGAACCUUGGCUUUAAUCACUGUUCCUCUGACUUCUCUUCAAG